ACUUGGCAGCUUCUCCGCGCUGGAAAAGUCGUUGCUGGGCGACGCUCGCAGCAACGCGUUCCUAGGAUGCCCGUACGCGUCCGCAGCUUGCGGUCUGGGCGCUGCUUGUGAACAGCACUGGAUGCGGAGUCCGAGUGCGCUUGAGCCACACAGGGACAGGGGCGCCGGACUACUACGCAGGGCUCUCGUAAGUGAGUUCUCAGAGGUCUGGAACCUCUGCCCCUUGACGUCACCAGGAGGUAGUCCUGGAAACGGGGAUACUGAGAUGGAGAGGCUUGAGCGCUGCCGCAAAGGAAAAAUCAGACGCAGACACGAGAAAUUCUGUGCUGUCUGGGACGCAGGAGGAGGAGAGUCCUCGUCACUGGGAGCCCAGCUCCGCCGCUCCUGCCCGGAUGCUCGGUGGUCCGCAGAAAGCUCCCUUCUUAGUCGCUGACUCAGGACUAUGAUGGCAGUGGCACUCAGAGGUGGCUUAAUGGAGAGCAUACCUUUAUUCGUCUUUUGCUCGCAGAUCUCUUAGCCACCCUUCCCUGCCCGCUCUGUGAUGUACAGAAUGCGGACACACUCACUCCCUGUACAAAUGGUACCUGCUGGAGCUCAGCCAGUUGAAGCCAACGAUAGAAACUGCAAGAGGAGACUCUCGGCUUCAGCCUGGAAUUUGACUACGACUCUAACAAGCCGAGACUCUCAACACUCAGCUCUCAGCCCAUUCUUAGCUCCAGCCUAUUUUGUACCACCCACACAGAUGAUGCUCCAUCAGAAGGUCUAGAAUAAGGCCAUAGUGAAUAACUAUCAGUCAUUCCUGGUGUUUCUUCCACCCCGGGGCCAGUAGCUAACCUUCAGGUGAUCCACUUUUCUGUUUCCAUCAUCCAUGUAGUCAGAGCUCAGUCCUCAGUCCCUGUAGUCUGUUUUGUUGAGUGGUCCUAGCACUGCCCUUUGGUAAUAGGAGUGAUCCCAGCAAGAAGUCUUAAGGUGGCUUUCUGGACUGAGCACUCACACAUUUAAUUGCAGAUGUAUUGACAGUUAUUUGAGGGUGGCCAAUGAGCCAGGAAAAGCCAGAGCGGUUUGCUUUUCUGUGUGGCUACUUGAAGUGAAAUGUCAGCAGAUAGAUGAAAACACUUAGAAAGUAGCUGCUCCAGCACAGUCUUGACAACAGGAGCUGAUGUCACCAAGUCAGGUGACUCGAGUUCCCCAGAACCCACAGAGCAGGAGAAAAGCAACUACCUCAGUUGGUCCACUCACCUCCACCAUACAAAAUGAAGUCAGUCAAGUUAGGACAUUGUAAAUCAACUAAGCCAGUGACC
ensembl:processed_transcript 4931415C17Rik RIKEN cDNA 4931415C17 gene